AGUUUAAUUUGAAAUAAUAAAUUUAUUUUAUAUUUUUAUUAAUAAGAUAAUAGAGGGUUUGAGUAUGAAUAUGGAAUAAAUUAUUUUUAUUAUAGUUAAUUAGUAAUGUGAGUGAAUAUUGAAAUAUUUUGAAAUUAAGUUAAUUUAAAGAAUGAUUAAUUUUCAGUACCUUUUGUAUCAGGGUUUAUUAAAAUAAUUAAGAUAUAUUUUUUGUUCCCGAAUUAAUAAGAGUUAUUGUCAUAUAUAUUUUAUUGUUAAAUAAAUAUUUUUAAUAUGGGUGUGGAAGAGAAAUUUUAUUCGUUUAUUAAAAUAUCUGGUUUUUCUAGAAAUUAAUAUAAUUAAUUAAAUUAUUUUUAUUUUUAAUAGUUCAUUUUUGAGUAGAGUUAAUUUAAAAGUUUUGUAGGGAUAAGCUUAUAAAAUUGAAUUUAUAAUUAAUUAAUUAAUUAAUUUAUUUAUAGAAUUAGAAUUAUUUAUUAAAAGUAAUAUUUUAUAAUUAAUAUUUUUAUUUAUUUUAUUUAUUAUUUAAUUUAAGUUUUUUAUAGAAAUGUUAUCUAAAAUUUUUUAUGAUAUGGGAUAAUGAUAAAAUUAGUAUAUUUUAUUUAGAAAUUACUAAUAAGAGUAGUUUAUAUUAAGGAAUUCGGCAAUAUUAAUUUUUCGCCUGUUUAUUAAAAACAUCGUUUUAUGAUUAAUUAUUUAAGAUUUGACCUGCCCAAUGAAAAUUUAAAUGGCCGCGGUAUUUUGACCGUGCAAAGGUAGCAUAAUCAUUAGUUUCUUAAUUAGAAGCUGGAAUGAAUGGUUGGACGAGAAAAUGACUGUCUUUAUAUAAAAUAUUAUAACUUUAUCUUUGAGUUAAAAAGCUUAAAUUUUUGUGAAAGACGAGAAGACCCUAUAGAGUUUAAUUUAUUUAUAUUUAUUAUUUAAUUAGUAAAUUAAAUUAUAUAUUUAUAUGUAAAUUUGAUUGGGGUGAUUGGAGGAUUAAAAUAACUCUUUUUAGAAUUUUUUUAUUGAUGUAUAUAUUUUUGAUCCAUUAUUUUUGAUUAAAAGAUUAAAUUACCUUAGGGAUAACAGCGUAAUUUUUAUGGAGAGUUCUUAUCAAUAUAAAAGUUUGCGACCUCGAUGUUGGAUUAAAAUUAAUUUUUGGUGGAGAAGCUAAAUAAUUAAGUCUGUUCGACUUUUAAAAUUUUACAUGAUCUGAGUUUAAACCGGUGUGAGCCAGGUUGGUUUCUAUCUUUAUAAAGAUUAAAUUUUUUAGUACGAAAGGACCAAAAAUUUGAUAAAUUUAUUUAUUUUUGAAUAAUAUU
rnacentral:rRNA from 1 species